ACAGUUAUCAAAUACUUUUUUAGAAAAUGUUAUAGUUAUUUGGAAGUAGCGGGAAAGUGAUAGCCUUUGUUUUUUCCUUUACACUACUUGGUAAUUUCAUCUAGUCAUUUGUUCAAAAGAUCAUUCUCAUAAGAAAGUGUCUUGUAAGCAGCUUGAUGCUCAGCCACUUGCACACUUAGCUCUAUCAUUUCUUCAUCAUAUUUUGCCAAACCAUUCUUCUGUUUUUCUUCUCAUUAGUGUGCUCAGCCACUUGCAUACUCAGUUUCACCACUUUUUUCUCACAUUUUUUAGGGAUUUCCUCAUAUUUUCUUCAUCCUUAGCAAGAUCUACCAAUGAAUCAAGCAACAGAGAUGCAAG
rnacentral:lncRNA from 1 species